rnacentral:rRNA from 1 species
GACGAACGCUGGCGGCGUGCUUAACACAUGCAAGUCGAACGGUGAAGCGCCUUCCUUUUUGGUGGGUGUGGAUGAGUGGCGAACGGGUGAGUAACACGUGAGUAACCUGCCCCCUUCUUCUGGAUAACCGCAUGAAAGUGUGGCUAAUACGGGAUAUUCUGGGUCUGUCGCAUGAUGGGUCUGGGAAAGAUCUUGUUUCGGUGGGGGAUGGGCUCGCGGCCUAUCAGCUUGUUGGUGGGGUGAUGGCCUACCAAGGCGGUGACGGGUAGCCGGCCUGAGAGGGUGGACGGUCACACUGGGACUGAGACACGGCCCAGACUCCUACGGGAGGCAGCAGUGGGGAAUAUUGCACAAUGGGCGCAAGCCUGAUGCAGCGACGCCGCGUGAGGGAUGGAGGCCUUCGGGUUGUGAACCUCUUUCGCCAGUGAAGCAGGCCUGCCUCGUUUGUGGGUGGGUUGACGGUAGCUGGAGAAGAAGCGCCGGCUAACUACGUG